AAAGGAAUCAUGAAUAACAUACUUAAAAAAUAUAUUUUAAAUAUUUUAAUCAAUACACAUUGAUAAAAGUAAUAACCACUACCAAUAACACAUUAUAAUUUAAAUUGAGUCUGCUGUAUCACCAUGUUCUCAUGGCUGAGACCCCUUUUUCCCAAUUUAUCCCGUUUAGUGUAAUAAGGAAUGAAAUUGGGGAAUUUAACAUCUAAGUAUCCCUUAUCUGUUUGUAUUUGUAAAUUAUGUGCAGUAGAUAUUGCUUUAAUCAUCAUAAUAAAAGACAUCAUAGUUUUUCCCAUCAGAUUGUCUGUGUUUACAUUAUUCGCACCUUAUUGUUAACCGCCUUGUUUUUGUUGAAAAUUCCUUCUACAAGCCUUAUUUAAUGACACAGCAAAAUGUCGGCCUUUUGCGUCGUGUGAAAUGGAAUAUUAAGUAUUAUUCAAAUAAACAUUAACGUCACUCUGGCAUUUGCCAAAUGUUGUUCUUACUGUUAUAAAGUGAGUAUAGUUAUCCAUGGGUUAAGGUUGAAAAUUAAGAAAGAUCACUAUGGAAAUUCAUUAAUUCCCAAUAUGCAUAUUUGUAUGUGAAGUAGGUUAAAAGCAUGACUUGGGUUGUUAAUAGGGCACUAUUAUAGCUAGCUUUCUAACUAUAAUUAAUCACGCUUACAUUUAAUAUGUCAUAAAACUCAAAAUUACUUAAAUCUUGCAGUCAGGAAGGUAAUGAAUUUGCUAUUUACAGUCAACAAAAAUAUGAAGGCAAAAUAUAAAGAAAAGGUUGGGGGUCGAUGAACAAAAAGAUGGUCGAUAAAGAAAAGGAUUGCUAGAAAUAUUAAAAAAAACAUACUACUAAAAUGUAAAUGGUGUCACACAUACUUUAAUUCAUUAAUGUUAGUUAUUGUACAAUUAGAGAUAAUUAGUUCUACGUUUUCAUCCUUAAGGAGAGAGAUUGUCAUCGCAUAAACUCGAGCUGUUCAGUAUAAUAUUUUAAAACAUCCUAAAUCAAUGCAUAGAAGUCUCGCCUCGGGGCAAACUAACGAAUCGCAGUGAGGUGCUUCGGUGGGGUGGACUUGCACUUCCCUUAAUUCCUACAUAUCGUCCUCGCACUUGCGUAUCCCUGCUUAUGUCUCAUUCUCUAUGCUCGCCUCGCUCACCCCUCCUUUCAGCGCAUAAUUGAUGCCGUUCUUAGUAUUAUAUACGUAGCGGUGACCAGCAUUUGGCGACCUAGCUGUAUCAGCUGUAUGGUGUGGGCUGUGCCGACCUCUUUUUCAAGUCGAUAAAGUAUGCUUCCAGCGUUAUGGAAGCUUAAACAAUACAAUAUCAUUCUACCUUGUAAUUAAACUGGCUAGUCUAAUAUAUAUCACUUCAUGAUUCCUUCAAAUGCUUUUUAGUUUUAUUUUAGACCGAUGAAAGAAUGCGUUCCUGGUCGAUCGUAAGCGGUACGACUUCAUUUGCUAAUUACGAUAGUACGAACAGUAUUAUUUGAGUAUAUGGUCCUGUAAGUCUAUAAUAUAUGGUUUUUGGCAUUGCCCUAGAAUACGUAUUAAAUGUUUUAGAAGGCCAGUCCUGUUUAAAUUUCAAUUGGUUUGUGAAAAUAAUAGUUGCUAUGAAUUUCUUUGCAACGUUAUAAAGUUUAAGUGUUAUUCAACUUUUAAGUAUGGGAGAUACAAUUGGAUGCUCUAUUUUAAAAUAGUGACAAAUGAACAAUAUUGGCCAUCGCGUGAAUAUAAGUCAGCACUCAUUAAACAUCAGGAACGCAUUCUUUUAGUGGGAAAAUAUUGAACUGCCUGCUUUGUAAUUAGAACACAUUUUCACUAAAUAUUGUAAUUCUAUUAAUUUAUUUCAAACUCCGAGAUAAAUAUGCGGCCAAAUUAUAUGUAAUGUUAACUAGACAGUUGUCAAUAACCUAUUCGUCCCGCCAGUUUUAAAUUCCAGCCUUAGUUAUAUCAGGUAUGUAAAAUUCGAGAGCUUAACUGCCUACAUACAGGUUCAAUAAGGUCAGGUUAUAUAAUGGUUGUUUUAUUUGAUAAAUAGUGUACUAUGUAUGUUAUAUACAAUGUUUAACAAUUUAAAAUUAUGUAGCACAAAUGUGUCUUAAAUCUAUAUGGGUCAGAUAGAUCAACCACGGCCUUAAAGAUUGUCAUUUUAUGUGACGCAUUGAUGACACCUAAAUUUUACUGUUUCAUUAUUUACACAAUUUGCCCCAAGGGAUGGCAGUCAGGGAAUCGUGAGAAGUUCAUCGAAUGUAAAUGGCAGUCGUCAUCUCCGCACUGAGGCUUUGAUGAACGUCAGCAACAGAACGGCUCUCCGAGAUACCUUCUACAAUAUAAACAGUAUAAUAAUUAUAAUAUAAGUUGGCGGUAAACCGAAGCAACAAUUUAUAGACUAUUAUUCUUUAGGCAAACUUCGUAACAUUUCUUUAUUAAAUGGCAAUCACUGCAACUGACUGUAAUUAAAUAAGUGUAUUUUAUGUCAGCAUUCGAAGUGACACGCUCUAAAUUAAAUGUAAGUUGUAUGUUAUUGAUCACCGAACUAAGUGAGCGAUACAAAGGGUGUUAAAAAAGACCACCAGUUAUAAGAUAUUUUCUAUAUAGAAAAAUUCUAUAUUUAUUAAGUGGCAGAACUAUCGGGAGGAUUGUCAUAACAAAGCAACAGCAACAAACAGGCUUUAAAUCUAAUAAUGAUAUAUUAUGUCUGUUUGUUAAAGGUAUCUCGGAGGUGGUUGGCCUCGGUACCAUAAUUAUUAAACAAAAUAAUUGCUUUAAUAUGUAAACUAUAUCCUUGGCUUCGGUAACAUCAAUACACGAUUUUAGCCAACUGAAUGGUUCGUCAACGAUUUGGUACACGU